GAAAUACCGAUUCUCCUCCGAUCACUGGAGUUAAGCAACUUUGAGUCUGGUCAGUACCGAGAUGUGUGACAACCUGGGGAUAUUAGUUGCUGUAA